AUGUAUUUGUAGAUUUUUAUAUAAGUUAUAAGUACUGUCUGCUCAAAGUAAACCAUUCUCCGUCUUGUUUUCACAUUUCUCUAUCUAUCUAUCUCAGAUUUGAUCAUUCUUCAUCUUCUUCUUCUUGUUUGGUUUCACAUUUACAAGAAAGCUUGGGGAAGAACACGCACAACAUUCUCCAGAUCUGAUCUCCUAAGUCACAGAUUUUGAUCUGAAGGAAGAAAAAUCGUCAAAUUUCUCGCUCAUGUGUUCUCUUUUUCGUUCUUGAUAAUUUCUUCCGCUACAAGAAACCGAGUUAUGAUGCAUAACCCUUCCCCAUGCAUGCCUAAUCUGUUUCUUGAAAUCUUCAGUCUUCUAAUGUCAUGAAGAGGAGAAAAGUCUAGUAAGUAUAAGGAGUUAUGGAGACUGGUACAAGCACUAGCAACAGCGGAAGCAGCAGUAGAAACGAUAGCUAUGAAGCAAUCAAGAAUGGAUCAUGGUUUAAUCAGUUUCGAAAUGGCUGCAAUCCCUGGAUGGCUAGAUAUGCAUACGGUAUGAUAUUCCUAAUCGCUAAUCUACUAGCAUGGGCUGCUCGUGAUUAUGGUCAGCGUGCCUUAACAGAAGUGACAAAAUUCAAGAAUUGUAAAGGUGGAGAGAACUGUUUGGGGACAGAAGGAGUCUUAAGAGUCAGCUUGGGAUGUUUUUUGUUCUACUUCGUUAUGUUUCUAUCAACACUUGGCACGUCGAAAACACAUUCAUCAAGAGAUAGAUGGCAUUCUGGAUGGUGGUCUGCUAAGCUUAUCAUGUGGCCUUCUCUAACCAUCAUUCCUUUCUUGCUUCCUUCUACCAUUAUUCGCCUUUACGGAGAGAUUGCCCAUUUUGGUGCAGGGGUAUUUCUACUGAUACAGCUAAUUAGUGUGAUCAGUUUCAUUACAUGGCUUAAUGAAUGCUAUCAGUCCAAAAAAGACGCAGAAAGAUGCCAUGUCCAUGUGAUGCUACUAGCAACUACUUCAUACACAGUGUGUAUAGUUGGGUUAAUUUUGAUGUACAUAUGGUACGCUCCUGAUUCUUCAUGUCUUCUCAAUAUAUUCUUCAUAACUUGGACGUUGUUCCUCCUCCAACUCAUGACAAGCAUUGCUCUUCACCCUAAAGUAAAUGCUGGAUACUUGACUCCGGCUCUUAUGGGACUCUAUGUUGUGUUUAUCUGCUGGUGCGCUAUUCGAAGUGAACCAGUGGGAGAAAGCUGCAACAGAAAAGCAGCAGAGUCAAACAGAACGGACUGGCUUACCAUUAUUAGCUUCGUGGUUGCGUUACUUGCAAUGGUUAUUGCGACAUUUUCAACGGGAAUAGACUCUCAAUGUUUCCAAUUCAAGAAAGACACGAACAACCAAGGAGAAGAAGUAGAAGAGGAGGAAGAUGAUGUUCCAUAUGGAUAUGGAUUCUUUCAUUUUGUAUUUGCGACAGGAGCAAUGUACUUCGCUAUGCUACUCAUCGGUUGGAACACUCAUCACCCCAUGAAAAAGUGGACGAUUGACGUGGGAUGGACGAGUACUUGGGUAAGAAUUGUCAACGAGUGGCUUGCGGUUUGCGUAUACAUAUGGAUGCUGGUGGCUCCAAUCAUACUGAAGAGCAAAAGACAAAUGACAACUGAGACAUAAGGAGAUUGAGAGAUUUUGGGGAAAUAACAAAGACUGGUUUUUGAUGUAUUUUCUCCUUAUGUGGGAGAGAACUACACCGACUAAUUCAUCUAGGGCGCCCAAGAUGGAAGGCAAACCUGCUCUCAUCUAAUAGGUUUGAUAUCAAAAUGGUAUUUGACGAUUAAAGACUGUAAAAUUUCCAGAAAUCAAAUCUUUGUAAGUAGAUUUUAUAGGAAACCAAUUACAAAUAUAGUUAUGACGAUUUGUUAUAUCAUAUAUAUGAUCUUAAAAGUUUGGAUUAUUCCAACAAGGAUCUUGUCCAUAUAUUUAUGAUGCUUGUACACAAACUUCACAUACAUAUCAGCUGGUAAGACUAGAAGCAAUAAUUUUUUUUUUCUAGAAGCGAUAAAAUUGGGCAAACCAAUAUACUAAAUAUAGACAUAAUCAUACAUUAUAUAAUUUAUCUUCUAACACAACAUAAUUCUAUGUAUUUGUCACUAUGACAUUUGGAUUGGUUGUCAUCUGGGAAACCUAAACAGAUUGAGAUCUAAGAAACAUAAAUUUUCAGAUGACUGUAUACCGUCUAACCGUAUAACGCCUAGAGCCUAACCGUAUCUCGGAAACCUAAACAUAUACGAUUAGGCGCUAGACAUUCAUUAUGCGUUAGAUGACUGUAUAUCGUCUAGCCGUAUAUGCGGAUGCCUAAACGGGGUAUAUAUGGAUAUACAUUUUUACACGAAAUAUAAGUAUAAGAUUAAUAUAUAUAUAUAUAUUAUUUUUGAAAAAACUGAACAUAAAUAUAUUUUAAAUCCAAUUUUAUGUAUAAGUAUGUAGUUUAACAUAUAUCUCUGCAAGGUUUCACCAUGACCCGAAAAUCUUUAUGGAUUGAGUGAAGCAAGCAUUAAUCAAAGCUGCCGAUUUUUUUUUACUUUUUAACCGGAGUUUAUAGUGGGUCCCCCUAAUAUAUAGUAGUCCUUCGUAGUCAAGUAUCUCUCCGGGAGCAGUGAACUACAAGUAAUAGAAGAGACAACACUUACAAGAAACAUUAUAUGGCCGUAAAAAGGUAAGAGAGUAGUGCCACUCUGGACUUUGGUAGUCAGUCAGCUAUAGUGGUCAUUGUGCAGUGAUUGUUAUACUUAAGUUGUGACAUAUCAAUUCGGCAAUUUAAUGUGUUUUCCAAAAUAUUUACAUUGCAACUUCACGUCUUAUGAUUAAUGGAGUUUCUAUCAAAAGUAUAUGUUAAGAAAAAAAUUAUUAAGAAAACAAAUAAUACUACUCCCUCCAUUUCAUAUUUCAUAUUGUAACUAGUUUUAGGAAAAGAAAUUUGUUUCAAAAUUUAAAUAGUUUCAUAUUUCUAGAACUUUUACAUUUAGUGAAUAUAGUGUAACCAAUCAAAUUAAAUAGAUUUAUUUUUGAUUGAUUAAGUUAUAUCUAAUCUAUUUAUUAUACAAUAUUUUUUAAAACAUAAUAAUUUUUUUAAUCUUUGUGCUUUUAGCUAAAACUAUUUACAUUAUAGAGUAUAUGUUAAGUAAAGAAAGAAAAAUAAAAAGAGACACUAGAUUCUCCAAACCAGACAUAUAUGGUUCCCGGACUGGGACAUUUCUUUGGUUCACUUGAUUUUGUUCCAACCAUUAUUGCCCAUUUGUCCUUUGCCAGAAACAUUAAAUUUUAUAUAUAUCUAUUACUUUUUUGGUUUGAUGGUUCAUAAAAUUGAAUUACUUUUAAAAAAUCGUUUAAACUGGUAUGAAAACGACUUAAGUUGGAAUUUUCUUUAUGAAAAAACUAAGUUGGAAUCGAGUCGCUCCGCCGCAUCGACGUCAGCGUCCAACCACCAUUCCAAUCUUACAUAAAGAUCGAGCACGAGCACGAGCAACGAGAAGCCUUAUUCUGAAGAUAAUUAUUUAAUAUCUUCUUUUGACCCAUAUUUUGUUGUUUUCAUUAGUGUUUUUGCUUUGUGUUUAGCGGAUGAGCUUCCCAUAUAAACGAGACUUCAUCGAGUAUGUUUACCAAUCGUGUUAACGAAGAAAAGGAAACCAAAUGGGUUUCGUUUUUUU